rnacentral:sRNA from 1 species
UGGAAAUUAAUGCGUGUCUCAUCGAUUGU